rnacentral:lncRNA from 1 species
AAGGAUUACAAGGCCAGCCAGUGCAGCUGAGCAAUUUAAAGAGACUCUGUCUCAAAAUAAAAACUAGAUAGGACUAGGACACAGCUCAGUGGUAGAGCACUGUCCUAGCAUGCAUCAGGCCCUGGCUUUGACCCCAGCACUGCAAAAUCAAGCAUUCAGCUUUGAGUCAGGGAAGGAGCCCCAAGGAAAGCAAGAGGAGAAGCAGUGGCACGGACAAGAUGACAUGGUUCCUAUGACGUGGAGGAGACCCAGCUUAAGUGCCACCUCCCCCAGGGAGCUGCUUCUUCCUGCUCUCCAGUGACCUGCACAGUUCCAGCAGAAUCCAGGCCUGGCUUGUGACCUAGGAAGGGAAGUGGCCAGCUGAAAACACUGCCCUGGAGAA